rnacentral:tRNA from 1 species
CGCGGGGUGGAGCAGCCUGGUAGCUCGCAAGGCUCAUAACCUUGAGGUCAUGCGUUCAAAUCGCAUCCCCGCAA